CCUACGGGCGGCAGCAGUGGGGAAUAUUGGACAAUGGGGGCAACCCUGAUCCAGCCAUGCCGCGUGUGUGAAGAAGGCCCUCGGGUUGUAAAGCACUUUCAGUGAGGAAGAACGCCUGGUGGUUAAUACCCAUCAGGAAAGACAUCACUCACAGAAGAAGCACCGGCUAACUCCGUGCCAGCAGCCGCGGUAAUACGGAGGGUGCGAGCGUUAAUCGGAAUUACUGGGCGUAAAGCGCGCGUAGGUGGCUUGAUAAGCCGGUUGUGAAAGCCCCGGGCUCAAACUGGGAACGGCAUCCGGAACUGUCAAGCUAGAGUGCAGGAGAGGAAGGUAGAAUUCCCGGUGUAGCGGUGAAAUGCGUAGAGAUCGGGAGGAAUACCAGUGGCGAAGGCGGCCUUCUGGACUGACACUGACACUGAGGUGCGAAAGCGUGGGUAGCAAACAGGAUUAGAUACCCCGGUAGUC
rnacentral:rRNA from 1 species